GACGUAGGGUGCAAGCGUUGUUCGGAUUUACUGGGCGUAAAGGGCGCGUAGGCGGCCACCGCAAGUCGACUGUGAAAUCUCCGGGCUUAACCCGGAAAGGUCAGCCGAUACUGCGGGGCUAGAGUGCAGAAGGGGCAACUGGAAUUCUCGGUGUAGCGGUGAAAUGCGUAGAUAUCGAGAGGAACACCUGCGGCGAAGGCGGGUUGCUGGGCUGACACUGACGCUGAUGCGCGAAAGCUAGGGGAGCGAACGGG
rnacentral:rRNA from 1 species